rnacentral:rRNA from 1 species
AACGAACGCUGGCGGCAGGCUUAACACAUGCAAGUCGAACGCCCCGCAAGGGGGAGUGGCAGACGGGUGGGUAACGCGUGGGAAUCUACCCAGAUCUUCGGAACAACUGAGGGAAACUUCAGCUAAUACCGGAUACGCCCUACGGGGAAGAUUAUCGGAUCUGGAUGAGCCCGCGUUGGAUUAGCUAGUUGGUGGGGUAAUGGCCUACCAAGGCGACGAUCCAUAGCUGGUCUGAGAGGACGACCAGCCACACUGGGACUGAGACACGGCCCAGACUCCUACGGGAGGCAGCAGUGGGGAAUUUUGGACAAUGGGCGAAAGCCUGAUCCAGCCAUGCCGCGUGCAGGAUGAAGGCCUUCGGUU